UACGGAGGGCGCAAGCGUUGUUCGGAAUUACUGGGCGUAAAGCGCGUGUAGGCGGCCAAGUAAGUCGGAUGUGAAAGCCCGGGGCCCAACCCCGGAACUGCACCCGAUACUGCUUGGCUGGAGUCCCGGAGAGGAUGGCGGAAUUUCCGGUGUAGAGGUGAAAUUCGUAGAUAUCGGAAGGAACACCAGUGGCGAAGGCGGCCAUCUGGACGGUGACUGACGCUGAGACGCGAAAGCGUGGGGAGCAAAC
rnacentral:rRNA from 1 species